AAAAUAUCAACAGUGAAGGCUGAAAAACAGUAAAGAUGGUGGCUUACCCCUCCCUCUGGAAGCUCAGUCUCAGGGAGGCAUAAACCUGUUACUGGCAGGAAUGCACCUACAUAUGUGGCAGGAAACCCUAGUCAGGAGAACCCACCCUGGGAAGAGAAAUGGGAAUCAGGGACCCAUUUAAAAAGUCUGGCUGCUUUUUUUUGUAGAGCAGCUCUGCUGUGCUUGGGAUCCGCUCCAGCCCCAGUCACUUUGACUCUCUAAAGCCCAAAGGAAAGAAUGGCUAAAGAGCAAAGAUGGUGGCCCACCCCUGCCUCUGAGAGCUUCAUCCCAGGGAGGUUUGGUACUACUGCUGGCCAGAAAACACUGGCGAGGUGACUGGAGACCCUGGUCAGGAGAUGCUGCCCUGUGCAGGAAAACAAGAUUAUGGAUCUCCAUAAAUAAGCAGUCUGACCACUUCUUCAUAGAACUGCUGGGCUGUGCUUGGCGUCCUCUCCAGUCCCUGGUUGCCUCCAAAUUUCUAGAGUCCUAAGGCAACAAUAACUAAGGAUGUGAAACAGCAAAGAUGGUGGCCUGCCCCUUCCCCUGAGAGUUUUUUUUUCAGAGAGGUGUAACACUGCUAAUGGUGGCUGUCUGGAAUUCUAAGCCAGUGGAUUUAUCCUGCAAGGUGCCAUGGAAGUGGAGUUUUCAGAUCACUGCUGUUUAGCUCCCUGGAUUUAUCUUAUUUUUUAGGGGUAUGUACAGGGCUUUAACUUCUCGUUUUGCUGAAGUUGCCGCUGCUUUUGCCAGAAAGUCUGGGUAUCUGAGCCCCACCGGGUUCUGCCUAUGCCUGAAUGGCUGCUCUGCCAAGACUCCAUGUAGCUCUCCAUGUCAGACUGAAGGCCCUGGUAGAGUGGAUUAUGAGGAGAUAUCCUGACCUGAAGGUUGCAAAGAUCUGCGAGAGAAGUGUGGGUUCCCAGGUUGCUCACUCACUUACUGCUUCCCUGGAAUGGGGAGGUUCCCCUGGCUCUGUGUUGCUCCCAAGUGGGCAGCUUCCUUCCUGCCUUGCUUUUCUCCGUUUUCAACGGGUUUAAUUGUUUCCUUGAUUAGUCCCAAUGUGUGUAUCUGGAUGUUUUAGUUGAAGCUGCUGUAUUUACUCACCCCUCCCUUUCCUCUCCAUGAGAGAGGCACACCCUAGCUGCUUCUAGUAGACGAUCUUCACCAAACAUCCCCAUCUCCAAAAUCUUAUCAUUUUCAACAACAUGGAUGGAAUUGGAGGUCAUUAUGUUAAGUGAAAUAAAUUAGACACAGAAAGACAAACAUCACAUGUUCUCACUUAUUUGUGGGAGCUAAAAAUGAAAACAAUUGAACAUAUGGAGAUAGGGAGUAGAAGGAUGGGUAUCAGAGGCUGGGAAGGAGAAUUGGGGUUGGUAAUAGAAUGGGAAUGCUUAAUGGGUACAAAAAAUAGUUAGAAAAAAUGAAUUAGACCUUGUAUUUGAUAGCACAACAGAGUGACUACAGUCAAAAUAAAUUAAUUGUAUAUUUUAAAAUAACUAAAAUAUUAUAAUUGGAUUGUUUUUAAUACAAAUGAUGAAUGCUUGAGGAUAUGGAUGCCCCAUUUUACAUAAUAUGACUGUGCAUUGCAUGUCUGUAUUAAAACAUCUCAUGUACACCAUAAGUAUAUAAACCUACUAUGU
rnacentral:lncRNA from 1 species